CCCUUAGAUGUUCUGGGCCGCACGCGCGCUACACUGAUGCAUUCAACGAGUUUCUUCCUGGUCCGAGAGGAAUGGGUAACCUUUUGAAAGUGCAUCGUGAUAGGGAUAGACUAUUGCAAUUAUUGGUCUUCAACGAGGAAUUCCUAGUAGACGUAGUUCAUCAGUCUGCAUCGAUUACGUCCCUGCCCUUUGUACACACCGCCCGUCGCUCCUACCGAUUGAAUGCUCAGGUGAGCCAUUCGGACUUUCAUCAUGCUGGUUUCCAGUUUUGAUGAAGGAAAGUCUUGCGAACCUUAUCAUUUAGAGGAAGGAGAAGUCGUAACA
rnacentral:rRNA from 1 species